rnacentral:lncRNA from 1 species
CAGAAAAGCCACUUCAAGGAACAAGCCUCGUCCCUGAUGGAGAGGAUCGGGUUCAAGAUGGCGUUGCAGGGAGAGAAACAGACGAGGCACAUCCAGAGACGAGUCUGACCCAUGGUGGAGAAUAUGAAGCUCAAGAUUCGCGUGGAACACGGCUUUUGGUGGGAUUAUUCUUCAGCAUGGCAGAAAACCUCUUCAUGGCUGACUCGUUGAGUAGGUUUCCUGUGAGGAAGUAACGCAUGAACUGCCACAUGACUCUACAACCAUCCCAAUGAAGUGUGUCGUCUCCAGUUAUAUCUUUCUCUAAAUGUGACUGAUAAAUAGCUACCAAAACACGAUUUCCUUGAAUAACAAACAAAUCAAUUCAGUGAAUCAUGUUGAAUGUUGUGCUUGUACACAUUUUAUCGUUUUUCUUUUGUUUUUUAAAAAAGAUAUUUAAUCCCCGUCAUGUUGUGGAAUUGUUUUCAGUCAGGUCAAUAAUGCAAGAAUGUUCCAGAAGAGCAGAUGAAGGAUGGUAUGUUCUUGUACAUCGAGAUAUGCCAGAUAUGUCAGGUUUGAACCAGACAAGUCAGCGGUUGUGUCACCCAGGUAGGCAAAAUAUGCCGACAUCAGUCGUGUCCGAACCACACCACUGAGUGUUUGUAUGAUUCAGUCAGGUCUGAACCAGACAACUGAGUAGUUGUAUGGUCCAGGCAGGCGAGAUAUGUUGACAUCAGUCAGGUCUGAACCAGACAACUGAGUAGUUGUAUGAUCCGGGCAGGCGAGAUAUGUUGACAUCAGUCAGGUCUGAACCAAACACCUGAGUAGUUGUAUGACCCAGACAGGCGAUACAUUUUGAGGUUGUAUUCAACCUAGAAUAACUCGAAGUGCUUGCGUAGGUCCCUCAACACCACAAGGGUGUUUGUACUAUCUUUCUGGUAUUCAUUUCAUGAUAUUGUUUGUGUCUAUGUAAAUACUCACCACAUAUAUACAAUGUAUACCUGUUUUUGUAUAGAAAUGAAUAAAGGAAUUUAUAAAUCA